GUAGGUUGAUUCACUCUCAAACAGACACAACUGAGAUAGUAUUCUUGUAUAAACAGAGACUGUACAGUAGAUAGGAGAUAGACAGAUAGGAAGAUAUGAUAGACAGGUCCUGCAGUCCUGUACUGGCUGUUCCUGGAGAAGGCUGGGUAGGGUGUGUGAGACAGGAAGUGGGUUUUCCCACACACAAGGUAAAUGUACAUACUCACACAGUCACACACAAAGUUGUGGGGAGUCACUUCAUAACCACACCACCAGACCAAAGACACUCAAACACGUACUUCAAAGCCAGGGCCUCUCCCCCCAUGUGGAUGAGACCAGGCUGGGCUGAAGAGAGAGCAGAGAGGGGCAGCGCCUGGCUGGAUGUAAGAUGUUGCUGUUUGGCUAGUGGACAGUCAGUGGCCCUAUUUUGGUGGUUUGGUUGGAGUGCUGAUGUUUUGUGGGCAUCGUUGCGAUACAGUUAGACGGUGAUGACUGAAGAGGAGACUACUUCCUGUGACGUCAUCAUGACAACUGUCAAAGAAGACACACAUGAGAGGAUCAUGUCCAGACAAGACCAAGAGGAAAAGCUCACUAUUACAGACUGGUACAGUAUGUGUGUGACUCUCCAGCAGCAGGAGCUGAGGCUGUCUGAGGGCUCUUACAGACCUCCAGGCCAAGCCCAGUCCUUCCUGGCCCAGCAGAGGCAGUCCACCCAGGACAGGAGCAGGAGAGGCAUGGGGCUCUCUCCCAAGCUACAGCCCAGAUAGGAGGGAGAGAUGGAGGGAGAGGUUCCCUCUGUUGAGGAUGGUGGGAUUGACACUGGAUGGACAAGGAAUGUUGGAAGAGGAUGUUGAUGGGAUUUUUAUGACGGUUUAAAAAAAUCUUGGAUGUUAAAACAAACAAUUUUAUAAAACAUUGGCGCCACCUGCUGGUCAACUGGUAUUGGUGUUCGUUUUUUUGUCCAUCUCAGUUUGAAUCUAAAAGUAAAAGGAAUAGAUAGGAC
rnacentral:lncRNA from 1 species